AUGCAAGUCGAACGCUUUUUCUUUCACCGGAGCUUGCUCCACCGAAAGAAAAAGAGUGGCGAACGGGUGAGUAACACGUGGGUAACCUGCCCAUCAGAAGGGGAUAACACUUGGAAACAGGUGCUAAUACCGUAUAACACUAUUUUCCGCAUGGAAGAAAGUUGAAAGGCGCUUUUGCGUCACUGAUGGAUGGACCCGCGGUGCAUUAGCUAGUUGGUGAGGUAACGGCUCACCAAGGCAACGAUGCAUAGCCGACCUGAGAGGGUGAUCGGCCACACUGGGACUGAGACACGGCCCAGACUCCUACGGGAGGCAGCAGUAGGGAAUCUUCGGCAAUGGACGAAAGUCUGACCGAGCAACGCCGCGUGAGUGAAGAAGGUUUUCGGAUCGUAAAACUCUGUUGUUAGAGAAGAACAAGGAUGAGAGUAAAACGUUCAUCCCUUGACGGUAUCUAACCAGAAAGCCACGGCUAACUACGUGCCAGCAGCCGCGGUAAUACGUAGGUGGCAAGCGUUGUCCGGAUUUAUUGGGCGUAAAGCGAGCGCAGGCGGGUUUCUUAAGUCUGAUGUGAAAGCCCCCGGCUCAACCGGGGAGGGUCAUUGGAAACUGGGAGACUUGAGU
rnacentral:rRNA from 1 species